rnacentral:rRNA from 1 species
AUUGAACGCUGGCGGCAUGCUUUACACAUGCAAGUCGAACGCGAAAGGGGGCAACCCUGAGUAGAGUGGCGCACGGGUGAGUAAUACAUCGGAACGUGUCCUGUAAUGGGGGAUAACGCAGCGAAAGCUGUGCUAAUACCGCAUACGUCCUACGGGAGAAAGCGGGGGAUCGCAAGACCUCGCGUUAUAGGAGCGGCCGAUGCCGGAUUAGCUAGUUGGUGGGGUAAAGGCCUACCAAGGCAACGAUCCGUAGCUGGUCUGAGAGGAUGAUCAGCCACACUGGGACUGAGACACGGCCCAGACUCCUACGGGAGGCAGCAGUGGGGAAUUUUGGGACAAUGGGCGCAAGCCUGAUCCAGCCAUGCCGCGUGAGUGAAGAAGG